rnacentral:rRNA from 1 species
UACGAAGGGGGCUAGCGUUGUUCGGAAUUACUGGGCGUAAAGCGUACGUAGGCGGCUUUGUAAGUUAGAGGUGAAAGCCCGGGGCUCAACCCCGGAAUUGCCUUUAAGACUGCAUCGCUUGAACGUCGGAGAGGUGAGUGGAAUUCCGAGUGUAGAGGUGAAAUUCGUAGAUAUUCGGAAGAACACCAGUGGCGAAGGCGGCUCACUGGACGACUGUUGACGCUGAGGUACGAAAGCGUGGGGAGCAAACAGGAUUAGAAACCCCCGUAGUCC